GAUACCACAGGUUUCAUCUGAUUUUCUGGAUGGGUUUGUAGGGCCGCUGACAGCUGACGCCGUAUCGAGCCCUGCCUUCCAAUAUCCAGGAAAGAAACCUCCCCCAAAGUUGACUAAUGGCGGUGUGGCCCGAGCCCUGUAGGAGUCGCAGGUACAUGCCAAGAUCUCUUGACGACACCUGAAGUCAAACCUCUACACAAGGAGUAGGAGUGGUAGGGUCAAGGACUGCAUCCCACAAACGUGCGCAAGGCCACAUGAAGGUCCGUGCAGUGUUAACUGGGGCACCACAGCAGGAAGUGUUCCACCGUCUCAGGUAGAAAGGAACACCGACUGAAGGUAGUGCAAAUGAUUUGUCGGCCGUGAAUGUCCCACGCAGAGGUGGGUCAUCGGUACAUCUACUGACCGAUUGGGAUAACGAGCUCAAGGGCAUGGACCAUCGAGAGACCGGACUGAGCUCAGUGCCGAGAAACAGAGGAAGCGUGCCGGUUACUUUUUUUUUAGUUGUGCUCACUAAGAGGCACAAAAAGCAGGAUUGUAGAGGUUACAAUGUACCUUUGUUACUUCACUAGAAAGAAAUAGUAGUCAUUUCAUAUUUUACAAUUAUUUCACCGAGCUUAUGUGUACAAUACAAUAUGGAAUACAAUCUGCCCAAAAAAUGUUACCAUUGAAAAAAACACAGAUCAUAACUGGGUUGCAAUUUGCUCUAUAAAAAACAGUUGACUCAUCUAGUCUGUAAAAUGUGGAUACAUCCUCAAGAUUUCAGAUUUUAUCAUUAACAAUGGUGUGUUUUGGCAGAUCCUGUAAGGUUUGCAUGGAGGUGUCUGACAGGUUAUAUGUUUGUAUACUAUAAGAUACAAUGUUCUAAGCAGACGCACAAAGGCCAAGAACUAGCCUAUCAUUAUUUUCCUAAACCACCAAAAUAAAGCUGAUCACCUACUAGUGGAUAUAAUUUAAACUCAAUAAAUAUUAAUGCUCAGUUUAUUAUUAUUACAAAUACAUAUAAUGUGAGAAAUUAAUGCUUUCAACACUAUGUUUAAGACAAUGAUGAAUGUAACAGUGAUGCAGGCUCUAACCUCCGUAUCACUGAAUACUGCUCUAAAGUCCGUACUACUGAACACUGCUCUAACCUCUGUACCACUACUUCGCUACACUCGUAUGGGUUCUCCAGCAUAAAUCACAGCACUUUUGUUGUUUUAAAAUCUCAUCUAAACAGAUUUGUGUUCUUAAUGGCUUGGACAGGGACAGGGGUAGGACUGGCCCAUAGUUGGAGUGGCCCAUGGGCAUGGACAGGGGUGGCCCAGGGGCAUGGGUGGCCCAGGGGCAUGGGUGGCCCAGGGGCAUGGGUGGCCCAGGGGCAUGGGUGGCCCAUGGGCAUGGAUGGGGGUGGCCCGUGGGCAGGGGCAUGGACAGAGGUGACCCAUGGUAGGGUGGCCUGUGGGCAGGGGAGGAUCAUGGGAAGGAGUUGCCCAUAGGCAUAAGCAGACCAUGGGCAGGGGUAACUCACGGCCAGGGGCAGACCAUGGCAAGGGUAACCCAUAGACUAGGGCAAACCAUGGACAGGGGUGGCUCAUGGGCAGUUGCAAAUUAUGGGCAGGCUCAGGGCCUGGAUUUCUGGUGUAAAAGUAAUUAGCUUCGUAAUUUCAAAACGGCCACCUGGGGCCCGAAAGGCUCUAUAUAGCUACUCUUUCUGCAUGCACAACUAAAUGUCGCCCAACUCAGUAUAAACAUAUCUCUGAAGACUUGACUAGUCUGCCAGAAAUGCCCCGGCAUGUUAGUGGCUUUCUUUGUACAGGUGCCAGCCGACGCCAUGAGUAUUUGCACAGAGAAAGAUUCAAGACAGCCGAUCAGAAGCCAACAUCUCCUCAUUCAGUGACGAAUAAGACACAUGUGCAACAGUUAGGUAUCUUUAUUCAGAAACGUUCGCGUCUUCACAUCUCUACGCUUCUACAAAACUGUACUCGACUGAAGACGCCUACUGUGUAAGCGAAACCUUUAGGAAUAAAGGUGCCUAACUGUUGUACAUGUGUCUUACUUACCAACAUGUCAGCAUUGUAUACUAUAUUUAUAUUCACCUCCUCACUCAACCUCCCACUGGAACCUGGUCCAGGGCCUGAGAGCAAUGCUCCUCAGUCAUCCUCGUUCUAGUCUACAAGGAUUAUAUUAUCCUGCAACUGCUCCUACACGCCCGCUACCUCUACAGUAACCCCAUAACAGUGGUCCACGGGCAGGGUAAACCAUGGGAAGGAGUGGCCCAUGGCAGGGACUAACUAUGGAAAGGAGUGGCCCCAUGAGUAAGGGUGGUCCACGGGAGGGGUAAACCAUGAGCAGGAGUGGGUCAUUGAAAGUGGUCCAUGGCAUGGGUAGACUAUCGGCAGGGGUGGUCCAUGGGGAGGGAUGACCCAUGACAGGGGUAGACCAUGGGCAGGAGUACUCAGUCAUGCAUGAUACAUCUCAUCUUUUCGUUUUAUAUGUCGCUAUUUUCCGUAGUAAUGACCAUCAAGUUAACGCUGACUUGUAAAGGACUUGACAUGGCCCGUAGAGGACUUGAUGAAUCAGUGAUGCUGCGGACAUGACCAGAUCUAGUUCAUUACCUUUGUAACUUGCUCAGCUAUCAAAACUUUGGAGUCCAGUCCCUGGACCAAUUAUGUACCUCUGUAAUCUUUUGACUACCGCCCACAGGAUGGGUAUGGGGUGCAUAAUAAACAUAUUAAACUGAAAA